UAUCUGAGAUACCAGUGCUUGAAGAUGUAACUUUGUGUGCAUGAGCUAUAAGACAACAGUGAAACCAACUCAUUCAGGUGGUUUCUGUUUCAUUACCCAGAACUGGUGUGAAUGGAGUUGUACUUCCUACCUGUAUCACUGACAGCAUUCUUAAAUUCAAGAAGAGUAAAAGUGCCUCCAAUAAGUGAUCUUUCUUUUGCAAGAGGUGACGUAGCUUCACCUGAGAAGUGCCUUUAUCCUAGUACUUUGUCAAAUCGUCCCUGUAAAUUUGACUUCAAAAAGCUCAGAUGUCGUCUGGACAUGGAAAAAAAAUCCCUGCCAAUUGUGAAAUUGAAACUUACUGUCUUGACCACUAGAGGGAGCUGUAGUGUGCAUUCACCAGGCGUUGCUGUUGUGACCUUUUCAUACCUGUUUACUUAACGCGGAGAAGGUGAGUUAUGAUUUCACUGUGACAAUGAUUGUCAUUUUUCCUUGAAGAUAUUACAGGUAUUAAAUGUUGCCAUAUUCACUGAUGCUUCUUUUUUUUUAACCAGUUUGUUGAAAAUCGUUUUAAACUGAGUCAGUCUCCUAUUAGCAACCUAGGUCAUAAGCUUGUGCUGCAUGAUGGAUUCACGGUUGGAGCUGCUGCCUUACAGCGAGAGGGAACUGUGUCAUGCACCGACAGGUUGUAUGUUUCUCUGUUUUCUCCUCUGUGGACAAAGAGAAUUGUUUUGUUUUUUUAAUUUUCUAAACGACUGUGUUAUUGUUCCAACAUUGUACCAACAUAAAACAAAGAGGUAAAAAAAUGAAA